rnacentral:lncRNA from 1 species
UCUGUAUAUCUUUGGUGAAGUGUCUGUUAAGAUCUUUGGCCCGUUUUUUUCAUCAUGUUGUUUUAUGGUUGCCAAGUUUUAAGAAUUAUAAGCAUAUUUAGGAGAAUAGUCCUUUAUCAUCUGUGUCUGUUGCAAAUACUUUCUCACAGUCUGUGGCUUGUUCUCAUUCUUGUGACAUUUUCUUUGACAGAGCAGAGAUUUUUAAUUUUAAUGACGUUCAGGGUUUGUUUUUUUGCUUGUUUGUUUGUUUGUUUUUAGUCUUUUUAGGGCUGUACCCACGGCAUAUGGAAGUUCCCAGGUUAGGUUAGAGGUCGAAUCAGAGCUACAGCUGCUGGCCUCCACCCCAGCCACAGCAAUGCCAGAUCUGAGCUGCAUCUGCCUCUUAGACCGCAGCUUACAGCAACCCACUGAGUGAGGCCAGGAUCCAACGCACGUCCUCCUGGAUCCUGGUCAGAUUCAUUACUGCUGAACCAGGAAGGAACGCCACAUCUAGGUCCUCUGUCGUCCAUUCUGAGCUGAUUUUUGUGAAGGUUGUAAAGUCUAGAUUAAUUUUUUUUUUUUCUCCCUGUGGGUGUCCAGGUCUGGCACAUUUGUUGAAAAUACUACCCUUGUUGCAACGCGUUGCCUUUUCUCCUUUGUCAACGACCAGUAUUUGACUGUAUUUGUGUAAGUCUAUUUGUGGACUCUCCAUUCUGUUCCAAUGGUCCACUGUCUAUCUCUGUUCCAAUGGUCUGCUGUCUGUCCUUUCACCAGUACCACACUGUCUUGAUUACUGUAGUGUUAUGGUAAAUUGUAAAGUCAGGUACUGAUGAUCUGCUUUUAAUAAUCUGCUUAUUUGGAUUAAAACAUGUUGAACUGGGUUAUUGCCAUAAAAUGUAGCCAGAUUUUGUUGGAUAAAGUUCUGGUAUGUGUAGUGUGCUUUGGAAAUUCAGGGAGAUAACAUCCAGUUCCACAAAAGCAACUCUUGAUUAUGUCGUUUGCUGUAGCAUAUAUAACAGCACUGGCUACAAUAGUUUAACCUUGUUUUAGAAUAUGUAUUCUAAAAUACUCUAAUUGUAUUGACUACCUUGCACUGCUGCUUUUGAUGGGUUGUAUCUGUGGCGAGUGGACUUGGUAUGAAGCAGCCCCAGACUCAAACUUGGAAUUCAGUGUAAUAUCCUAACAUAGGGAGUCUAAAGUUACAGAACCACUUGUUUAAGCUCAUUUUGCAGUCUAGAGAUUGUCCUACAGAAAUUCACCCUUGAGGUCCACAGAGAGUUCAGCAGACUGGUGGCUGUCUGUCCAAGUUCCUUGAGGCAGAGAAAAGAGACAACGGAUCCUUGUUCUUUGACAGCUUUAUUGAGUGUAUUCAGUCCCAAGUUUGGAAUAAUUUGUUUAACUACAGAUAUUUUGCACAGCGAAUAAAAUUUGUUGGAUAUGAAAUGUAAUCCUUACAGUAUCUUCAGAAUAAUUUUAACAUUUGCCAGAUCUAUCUACUGCUCAACUCUGGGUAGGUGUCCAGACGCCUUUACUAUUUGAAAAGAAAACUCUGCAUUUCUGAUUUUUCAUCCCUUGUAACAGCUGGAAAGUGUAGAAAACAUGUUUUAAAAAAGAGAAAAUGACUGGAUUUUUAAUGUUUGUCCUGAUGUUACUCCCUCCAGGCGUACAAUAUUUGACCAACUUUUGAUAACUCUUGUGUUUUGCAUUUCUAGAUGAACGAGUAGAGCCACGUAUAAAAGAUAAUUCAUAAGCUGCACCAUUAUCUGAAUCGUAAUAAACUGGACAGGCAUGCUCUAAGGGCUUAUGUGAAACUGAAUAUGAACUUGAAGGACACUUGUUUCUAAAUGGUAUUGAUGUUCUUCAAAAUCUUUUUUUUUUUCCUUUUUUUUUUUUUUUCUGGUCUUUUUUCUUUUUAGGGCCCCAUCUACAGCAUAUGGAGGUUCCCAGGCUUGGGGUCAAAUCGGAGCUGUAGCCGCUGGCCUACACCAGAGCCACAGCAACGUGGGAUUCGAGCCGCAUCUGCAACCUACACCACAGCUCACAGCAACCCAGAAUCCUUAACCCACAGAGUGAGGCUGGGGAUUGAUCCCAUGUCCUCAUGGAUGCUAGCCAGGUUCACUAACUGCUGAGCCAUGACAGGUCCUCACAAAAUCUUUUUUGAUUGUUAAAAUUUUCACCUAAAAUUGUUUGCUGUAGGUUAGCUCAGUACGAUUUUUUUUCCCCCCACCAGACCCCAGACAUAUUAUUCGGGAGAGCUACCUCCCAGGCCUUAGCAAGCCUCCUCAGUGAAGAGAAUGCUAUUUGGAGAGGACAGAAGCAGGAGUGAGUGGUUGGGCUGGUGCCUACAGUGAUAAGAUCUUCGUUUCCUGUGUUAGGUAGUUUACAAAAGGGUGUCGUCUGUUCAUCAUCCUUCCACAGUCUAUCCGGUUCCAACCUGGUCACCUUAACCCUUGGAAAGCCUCUGUGGUCAGUGCGUGUUGACGAGUCUGUCCGGCAGAUGGCUUUACAAUGUUUACUCGCCUAAAAAUUUUCCCUGCCUAAAUGGUCACUUUACCUCUUGUGGUUGCCAUGCUUGGAAGUGGCUCUUUUGCCAAAUUGUUUAGGUUCUCUUUGUCAUUAUGAUUCACUUUGGUUUGAAGUAACUCCAAUAAUUAAGUUAAUAUAAUCAUUUCUACUCCCCUUUCUGUUUUGGUCAAUGAUUUAUCCAGACUUGAAUAGCAAUCAAGCCACCCUUCCCAAAUAAACGGGCAGAAAUAUUUAUUUUGCGACUUGGUGGUCCUUUAGAAUUUGUGGGCUUUGUUUGGAGGCUCAGAACAGAAGGAUUAAGUGGAUGAUGGCCUGUUUCAAAGUAGCAGUUGGUUCAUGGCUAAGCUGGAGCGCUUUGUUAAUGUAAGGGGCUGUUGGAGUCGAUGAAGUGUGGUGUUGACUCCCAUUAAAAUACCUGCCAAAAUGUGAGGUACUUUUCAUUUGAUGGGAAAGGAAGCUGUGAGUACAUGUGAAGGGGACAAAAAAGAAAGACCACGCAAAGUUUGGUUUUGAAAACUCGAGUCCCUUGCUAGCCCAUGCUUGGUAUCACAGAAUUCAGAGAAAAUGGUAUAUAUUUGUAUUUUCCAUUUCGAUUUAACUUGAUUUUGUAAUCUUUCAUAUUUGGCCAGCGACUUUGUGAGAACAUAUUGUACACAUGUUCUGAUGCUGUUUGAAGUCCCUCCGAGAGACAAGAGUUGAUUGAAAGCUCUCAGUUCUACUGAAGUGGGUGGCCAAAGAGCUCGAAAUGAACAGCUGCCACACACCCAAUGAACUUUUGUCAUUUAUAAAUUAUUUUCCAUGCCAUCUGGAGCAAGAAUGGUGCCAUGGUUUAGAGAAGCGCUUUGUGGGGUGCGUACCCCAUGCCUCUGCAAUUUGCUUAUUACCACAGUCAACUGAAGUUUCAAAGUCUUUAUUUGCUUGGAGGCUUUAGAUGUGAAUACAUGAGUGAUUUCUUUAAAUGUCAUAUUAAAGACACCACCUCCACCCCUACCAGCACUUUCCCCUCCCUCUCUCUCUUCCAGUGACUAUAUCCUGCCUGCUUUCAGCUCCAGU